AUUAGUGGGGUCCGCUUUGCCGAUCCUUGACGUGAUAAGAUGUUUUCUACGUCUUGGGUUUGGCACUGUCACUUGGGCACCUGCUUCUAACCGUCUCAUCGACAAUGAUGGCGUUCCGGUCACCGCCGUUCAAUCGGCGGGAGGCUUGACCCACAAAAAACCUUGACCUCAAAUCGGGUGAGACUACCCGCUGAACUUAA
rnacentral:misc_RNA from 1 species